GAUGAACGCUGGCGGCGUUCCUAAUACAUGCAAGUUGAGCGAACGGACGAGAAGCUUGCUUCUCUGAUGUUAGCGGCGGACGGGUGAGUAACACGUGGAUAACCUACCUAUAAGACUGGGAUAACUUCGGGAAACCGGAGCUAAUACCGGAUAAUAUUUUGCACCGCAUGGUUCAAAAGUGAAAGACGGUCUUGCUGUCACUUAUAGAUGGAUCCGCGCUGCAUUAGCUAGUUGGUAAGGUAACGGCUUACCAAGGCAACGAUGCAUAGCCGACCUGAGAGGGUGAUCGGCCACACUGGAACUGAGACACGGUCCAGACUCCUACGGGAGGCAGCAGUAGGGAAUCUUCCGCAAUGGGCGAAAGCCUGAAGGAGCAACGCCGCGUGAGUGAUGAAGGUCUUCGGAUCGUAAAACUCUGUUAUUAGGGAAGAACAUAUGUGUAAGUAACUGUGCACAUCUUGACGGUACCUAAUCAGAAAGCCACGGCUAACUACGUG
rnacentral:rRNA from 1 species